GAUUAUGGUAGCCUCAUGUGCUGGCCUCCAGGAAUCUGGCUGGAAAGCACAUAGUAUGCCUGCCAGAGGCAACUAUCUGUUUUGUGGUCCCUAAUGAAAAGAAUUUAGAAGCCUCAUCUAACAAACACUAAGGGAAUGUAACCACUGCAUCUAUAUCUACUGCGUUGCUUGUGCUCACCGGAAGCAUCCACGAAGAAGUUGAAAUAAAGCAGCGAUCUGUAUCUACUAGUUUUUCAAUAAAUGGGUUUUAUUUAUUUUUAUUAAAGUGUUUACCUUUGAA